CGGCGAACGGGUGAGUAACGCGUGGGCAACCUACCCAGAAGCGGGGGAUAGCUUCGCGAAAGUGGAGGUAAUACCGCAUUCGCCCACCACAUGGAAAGGCUCACUUCUGGAUGGGCCUGCGUCCGAUUAGCUAGUUGGUAGGGUAACGGCCUACCAAGGCUGCGAUCGGUAGCCGGCCUGAGAGGGCGAUCGGUCACAUUGGGACUGAGACACGGCCCAGACUCCUACGGGAGGCAGCAGUGGGGAAUCUUGGGCAAUGGGCGGAAGCCUGACCCAGCGACGCCGCGUGGGGGAUGAAGGCCUUCGGGUUGUAAACCCCUGUCAGGGGGGACGAAUGACGGUACCCCCAAAGGAAGCCCCGGCUAACUCCGUGCCAGCAGCCGCGGUAAUACGGAGGGGGCGAGCGUUAUUCGGAAUUACUGGGCGUAAAGCGCGCGCAGGUGGCGCGGCAAGUGGCAGGUGAAAGCCCUCGGCUCAACCGAGGAAUU
rnacentral:rRNA from 1 species